rnacentral:rRNA from 1 species
GAUGAACGCUGGCGGCGUGCUUAACACAUGCAAGUCGAACGGAAAGGCUCCUGCUUGCAGGGGUACUCGAGUGGCGAACGGGUGAGUAACACGUGGGUGAUCUGCCCUGCACUUCGGGAUAAGCCUGGGAAACUGGGUCUAAUACCGGAUAGGACGAUUGUUUGGAUGCCAUUGUGGAAAGUUUUUCGGUGUGGGAUGAGCUCGCGGCCUAUCAGCUUGUUGGUGGGGUAAUGGCCUACCAAGGCGUCGACGGGUAGCCGGCCUGAGAGGGUGUACGGCCACAUUGGGACUGAGAUACGGCCCAGACUCCUACGGGAGGCAGCAGUGGGGAAUAUUGCACAAUGGGCGCAAGCCUGAUGCAGCGACGCCGCGUGGGGGAUGACGGCCUUCGGGUUGUAAACUCCUUUCGCUAGGGACGAAGCGCAAGUGACGGUACCUGGAGAAGAAGCACCGGCUAACUACGUG